rnacentral:lncRNA from 1 species
AUUGUUUUUAAAUUGUUCACAUUCAAAGGGGUGGGUAAACACCCAUACAAUUGUAUUGGAGUACUAGAGUUACUAUACUGUGAAUACAAAUCCACUGAAGAGAGUGGUUACCUAGGUCCGGGAAAAUGCAGGAAAGUUUCAAAAAGAGUUUUCAUUUAGGUGAGGCUUUAAAGAAUAAAGAAAGUCUCUAGGAGGCAGAGAAAGGGAAUGGCAUUCUAGACAUAAACAACAGCAAGAGAGAAAGGCUCCUUUCCAGUAAACAUAGUACUUAUUGAACUAAGAAACAUCUACUCAUCUACGAACUUUGUAUGCAUAUGGUGUUAGGGACUUAAGAGUUUCUCUCAUCCAAACCCAGGACUUGAAUGUGAAUUUGAAUUAGAAUGAGGAGAAAGGAUCGGUCCAAAGAAGCAUUAGAAUAGAAGCCAGAGAGGAUACUGGUACUCAAGUCCCCAGGCACAUCCAAUGACAAUGACAGAAACUCUCCUUUUACAUCUCUGCUUCUUGCUCUUGGGUGAUCAAGACCCAUUACCAUUGUCUAGUUUCCCAGUAGGACCUCAGUUGUCAACAUUGCAUUAAGUGAUAGGGUAUGGUCGUGAGCAAAGUGAAGGCAUGGAGAGUUUCAGAAAAUCCUGACCAG